UGUCUUAAAGGGCAUUUUCCCCUAUAAAUCGGAAAGUCAGAAUUCUGGUCUGAAGCCUGUACCUGACCUGUGGUUAUUGAAAAGCCAGUGUCCCCCCUUUAGGCUCUUGGAGCCAGCACCCACUAAACAGAGAGACAGCGAGCCUGAGGAAUGGCUGCUUCCUUCGAACAAAGCAUCAAAUACAUGAUCGCCACAACUGACUGAAAUUCUGCUACUGACAGUUCAUCUCUGAAGUAACCUUGAAUCCUAAACCCUCCUACCACUAACUUGUUAG